UUUCUUUUCUCGGUCCUUAAA
rnacentral:piRNA from 1 species